UCUGCUACCACGAAUGACGCACCUCGCAUGGUUGAUCUUAUUUUGGUUUUCCCGUGGGGUAGUAUUCAUGAUUCAGAUUAAUAUUUGAAUAUGUAUGGGAAUCAGGUAUUGUGGAUUCAUGGCUUCCAAUAAACGCAAGCGUCUAUUGUUAAUUACCCCUACAAAAUGUUAGGGCACCUUCGAUUAAGAGACCCCUGUAAUGCUGAAAUAGAUUGAAAUUGAAUAAAAGAUGGAUUUUAUAACAUAAUCCAUUGUAUAGUUACAUGGCUUAACCAGGGGCAUACCCCCAGUGUACAUGAAUGAAUAUGACAGUUGAUUGAACUUGAUUCUGAAUCAAAGUGUAUGAUCAAAUUGAUUUGAUUGAACACUAUA
rnacentral:lncRNA from 1 species